CGAGUAUGGUGCAGUAUCGAAAGAGAAGUCGUUAAACUCGCCCGCCUGGGAAGUCCGGUCGCAAGACUGAAACUUAAAGGAAUUGGCGGGGGAGCACCACAAGGGGUGCGGCGUGCGGUUUAAUCUAACUCAACACAGAGAAUUUCACCAGAGGCGACGGCACUAUGAAGGUCAGUCUGAAGGGCUUACCCAAGGAGCCGAGAGGUAGUGCAUGGCCGUCGUCAGCUCGUGCCGUAAGGUGUCCUGUUAAGUCAGGCAACGAGCGAGACCUAUAUCUACAAUUGCUAACGAACUUGGUGAUCGAGCACGUUGUAGAGACUGCCUUGGAAACAGGGAGGAAGGUGUAGGCAACGGUAGGUCUGUAUGCUCCGAAUCCUCUGGGCUACACGCGCGCAACAAUGGUAGAGACAAUGGGAUGCAACUCCGAAAGGAGAAGCUAAACCUCUAAACUCUAUCCAAGUCCAGAUUGUGGAUUGUAACUCAUCCACAUGACGAUGGAAUCCCUAGUNNNNGGGAU
rnacentral:rRNA from 1 species